rnacentral:rRNA from 1 species
UACGGAGGGUGCAAGCGUUGUUCGGAAUCAUUGGGCGUAAAGCGCGUGUAGGCGGCUUGGCAAGUCAGUUGUGAAAGCCCGGGGCCCAACCCCGGAACUGCAUCUGAAACUGCUUGGCUCGAGUCCCGGAGAGGAAGGCAGAAUUCCCGGUGUAGGGGUGAAAUGCGUAGAUAUCGGGAGGAACACCAGUGGCGAAGGCGACUACCUGGCCUGUUUCUUGACGCUGAGGCGCGAAAGCUAGGGGAGCAAACGGG